rnacentral:rRNA from 1 species
GAUGAACGCUAGCGGCAGGCCUAAUACAUGCAAGUCGAACGGGAUUAAGGGGUUUGCUUCUUAUGAGAGUGGCGCACGGGUGCGUAACACGUAUGCAACCUACCUUCAACUGGGGGAUAGCCUUCCGAAAGGGAGAUUAAUACCGCAUCACAUAAUUGAACGGCAUCGUUUGAUUAUCAAACUUCCAGGGGUUGAAGAUGGGCCUGCGUCCGAUUAGUUAGUUGGUGAUGUAGCGGCUAACCAAGACAUAGAUCGGUAGUGGAUCUGAGCGGAUUUCCACCCAAACUGGUACUGAGACACGGACCAGACUCCUACGGGAGGCAGCAGUAAGGAAUAUUGGUCAAUGGACGCAAGUCUGAACCAGCCAUGCCGCGUGCAGGAAGACGGUCCUCUGGAUUGUAAACUGCUUUUGUUAGGGAAGAAACCCUCGGAUGCGUUCGAGGCUGACGGUACCUAAAGAAUAAGGAUCGGCUAACUCCGUGCCAGCAGCCGCCGUAACAC